UAGCUUAGUGGUAAGGCUUCCGCCUCGUAAGCGGUAGAUCGGGGUUCAAAUUCCGG
rnacentral:tRNA from 1 species